AUGAUAAGGCCUAAAGGAUCUCAUUAAAUUGAGGCCAGCUGAGCAGAUUUACCUUAUUUCACUCUCUCUGCCACUCCCAUGAUAGAGAACUUUUAUCAAAGUGUUGGGUCAGGAUGACUUCCUCAUAAAACACUGGGUAGAAAUAAAAGUCUAAUUGUUUUCCUGAGAGUUUUUGUAAAUCCACCCUUUAAAUGCUUGGGAAGCAAGCUGGAGCCUCAGUGAAGUGUGCUGCUUGGUUGAAUAUAUGCUGCAGGACCUCUGGUAAGUGGCUGCUAUUUGUUGCCUCAGAAGAGCAAGGAUUCCACCACAGCAUGUCUCAGUGAGCAAAUGGGUAUCUUGAAGAGCUGGAGACUUCAGGCAGCUGCAAGUUGACAGCAGCAAGAGGACAACCCAGGCACUGCCAUACAGUGGAGAAAGCAGCCUAUGGGCAGAUUUUGGCCAGACUCACAGGGCAUUUCAUACCUUUUCUUGCUCUUUUUUUUCCUCUUCAGAUAACCACUGCAAUUGAUGUCAGUGACAGAAGGGGGGUGAGAUCACAAAAACUAGAGCAGAGAAUGAGUUAGAAAAUCCCUCUGUGUUAGUGUCCAAGACAGUUGGACCAGAGGAAUUUCAGCAUAGGUUAAUUGCACCAGCCAGUUAUUUAACCUCAAGUCCUAGCCAUAGCCUAGCCUAGCUUCUGCUAUGUUACAGGUCCCAGGAACACACUUAGAAGCCUGGAAAGUGUGGGUGUAGUUCCUGCCCUUAAAAGGGGAAAAAAAGGAGGAGCCAGGGUUUGCAGAUUGUUCAGUUCAGCUUCAAUUCCCAGAAAAACACUGGAACAAACGAUCAAACUUUUGUAAGCACGUAGAAUAAAACAAAGAGAUGAAUAACGGCCA
rnacentral:lncRNA from 1 species